rnacentral:tRNA from 1 species
GUCAAGUUAGUUUAAACUAAAACAUCAGCCUGUGGAUUUGAAAAUGAAAAUUUAUUUCACUUGACC